rnacentral:pre_miRNA from 1 species
AGUUGUAGUUUUUCAAACAGAGCUCUGCAAGUAUAUACCUGUAUUGGAACACUACAGCUCC